UCAUCAUGGGUGACGGAUAUCCAGAUUUUUGGUCAAACAUUAUCCUGGGUGUUUCUGUAAAGGUGUUCUUUGAUGAGAUUAACAUUUAAAGCAGUAGACUGAGUAAAGCAGA